GACGAACGCUGGCGGCGUGCUUAACACAUGCAAGUCGAACGGAAAGGCCCUGCUUUCUUGGUGUUCUCGAUUGGCGAACGGGUGAGUAACACGUGAGUAACCUGCUCUUGACUUUGGUAUAACUUCAGGAAACUGGGGCUAAUACCGUAUAGCAUCUCCUCCUGCAUUGUGGGGGUUGGAAAUUUUCGGCGGUUGGGGAUGGACUCGCGGCUUAUCAGCUUGUUGGUUGGGUAGUGGCUUACCAAGGCUUUGACGGGUAGCCGGCCUGAGAGGGUGACCGGCCACAUUGGGACUGAGAUACGGACCAGACUCCUACGGGAGGCAGCAGUGGGGAAUAUUGCACAAUGGGCGGAAGCCUGAUGAAGCAACGCCGCGUGCGGGAUGACGGCCUUCGGGUUGUAAACCGCUUUCGCCUGUGACGAAGCGUGAGUGACGGUAAUGGGUAAAGAAGCACCGGCUAACUACGUG
rnacentral:rRNA from 1 species